GUCAAAAAAAGGAAACAGGGGACAAAUAGAAAAAAAUUAGGUGGGAAUUUUAAACUCAUUUACUAGUGAUUAAAUUAAUAUUUAGUAAAGCAACUACUCCAGGGCUUUCCAGGUGGCUCAGUUGUAAAGAAUUUGCCUGGCAGUGUGGGAGACUCAGGAGAUGUGAACUUGAUCCCUGGGUCUGUGAGAUCUCCUGGAGGAGGAAAUGGCAACCCACUCCAGUAUUCUUGACUUGGAAACCCCAUGGACGGAGGAGCCUGGUGGGCUACAGUCCAUGGGGUCACAAAGAAUAGGACAUGACUGAGCUACUGAGCACGCAUGCAAACCAAAUACUCCAAGUAAAAGAUAAAUAUUGUUAGACUGCAAUUUUAAAAUUUUAUUUCUAUUAUUCACUUAAUUCUCACAAUUCUCUAUUUAUAUCUAUUUUAUGAGUGAAAAAAUGGAGACUUCAGGGAGUAAAGAAACUUGCCAAAAUGACACAGCUGAAAAACAGCAAAGUCAAGAUAAGAGCCCCAGUUGUCCAACCCAACAUCCUUCCUUGUGGUAUUUAGUACAACUCAGCAAAGAGAAGGUCCUGUCAAGCUUGGCAAGAGCUGUGUCCAUGCGAUUUCAGGGUCAGAGCCGGACUGCAGCUGGCGUGGUGAAUGAUAAAAUUAAAAGUAGACAUCACCAUCUAAAUUCAUCAGCAGAAUGCACCGGAACACCAGGAAGGGGAUACGGGAGGAAGUCUCAGGGGGGAGUAAGCUGUCCUGCAAUGUAGGGAGGCAGUGCACUCUCUGUGGAAAAGGAUCUUGGUUUCCUGUUCAUGAGUGGGGCUAAGAGAAGUCACUCUAGCCUUCAACUGCAUCUGGUAAGUUGCCCAGUGGGCUGUCCUGUUGGUUCAGUGGUAAAGAACCCACCUGCCAAUGCAGGAGACAUGGGUUUGAUCCCUGGGUCAGGAAAGACCCCCUGGAGGAGGAAAUGUACUGUAUCUCCAGUAUUCUUGCCUGGGAAAUCCCAUGGACGGAGGAGCCUGGUGGGCUGCAGUCCAUGGGGUCGCUAGAGUCGGACACGGCUGAGCUACUUCCCUUUCACUUUUCACUUUCAUGCAUUGGAGAAGGAAAUGGCAACCCACUCCAGUGUUCUUGCCUGGAGAAUCCCAGGGACGGGAGAGCCUGGUGGGCUGCUGUCUAUGGGGUCGCACAGAGUCGGACAUGACUGAAGUGACUUAGCAGCAAGCAUACACAAUGACCGGCUUACCUUGAUGAAAGGUAAAAUUUUCUGCAUGGAAAAACUUAGAGACUGACUCCAAAAGCUGACUUCUUGAAAAUCCAAGCACCAAACUGUAUUCUCCCUAAUCACACUUGGGGCUUCCCUGGUGGCUCAGUGGUAAAGAACCUGCCUGCCAAUGCAGGUGUCUCAGCAGGAUCAGCGAUGGUGUUGCCAGCCCCCUGCUUACUGCCAGUAAGCAAAUGCAUCCUUGGGCUGAAACAUGAAGCAGAUGUUAGCACCCAGGAAAGGUAACUGGAUCAGAGCUUGCAAGGAUCCAUUACCCUUUCUGCUCUUGGAGAGCUGAUAUUUAUUGCAGGAUGUGAAUGGCAUCCUCUCAUGCUGCGGUUCUUAAACAUUCGGUCAUCAGAAUCAUCUGGAAAGCUUAUUAAUGCCCAGAUCACUGGUCCUCAGCCCCAGAGUUUCUGAUUAGGAGGGCCGAAGGAUUUGCCUCUUCAACAAGCUCUCAACAAUGCUGGUGCUGCUGGCCUGGGGACCCCGCUUAGGAAAGUCCUAGGGGAUCCUUGAUUCUCCUAAAAUUUCAUGCACAAUCUGUGCAUACGUGCCUGUGUGUUUUUGUUCUUGAAUGUGUUUCAUAGCUUUCCUCAGAAUAUACAAGUGAAUCAAACCACAAACCAAGAAAAACCAGUAACUUUAAGAACAUUUACUGGGACUUCCUUGGCGGUCCAGUGGUUAGAACUUCAUCUUCCAAUGCAGGGGGUGUGGAUUCAAUCCCUGGCCAGGGAACUGAGAUCCCAUAUACCUCAUGGUCAAAAAACCAAAAACCAUGAAACAGAAGCAAUAUGGCAACACAUUCAAUAAAGACUUUAAGAACGGUUUCCUUUUUUUUAAA
rnacentral:lncRNA from 1 species